CGGGGGGAGCAAGCGUUGUUCGGAUUUACUGGGCGUAAAGGGCGCGUAGGCGGUCGUGACAAGUCACUUGUGAAAUCUCCGGGCUUAACUCGGAACGGUCAAGUGAUACUGUCGGACUAGAGUACAGAAGGGGGCAACUGGAAUUCUCGGUGUAGCGGUGAAAUGCGUAGAUAUCGAGAGGAACACCUGCGGCGAAGGCGGGUUGCUGGGCUGAUACUGACGCUGAGGCGCGAAAGCCAGGGGAGCGAACGGGAUUAGAUACCCCGGUAGUCCUGGCCUUAAACGAUGAAUGCUUGGUGUCUCGGGUUAUAAAGUCCCGGGGUGCCGUCGCUAACGCUUUUAGCAUUCCGCCUGGGGAGUACGGUCGCAAGACUG
rnacentral:rRNA from 1 species